CAAUAGCGUAUAUUAAAGUUGUUGCGGUUAAAAAGCUCGUAGUUGGAUUUCUGUCGGUGAGUGGCGGUCCGCCCCUGUGGCUGAGCACUCGUCAAGCCACCGGCAUCUUCCUGGGGACUGCGCUGCACUUCACUGUGUGGCGUACUAUCCAGGACUUUUACUUUGAGGAAAUCAUGAGUGUUUCAAGCAGGCAUACGCCUUGAAUACAUUAGCAUGGAAUAAUAAGAUAGGACCUCGGUUCUAUUUUGUUGGUUUCUAGAGCUGAGGUAAUGAUUAAUAGGGAUAGUUGGGGGCAUUCGUAUUAACGCGUCAGAGGUGGAAUUCUUAGAUUGCGUUACGACGAACUACUGCGAA
rnacentral:rRNA from 1 species